rnacentral:rRNA from 1 species
AAUCAACGCUGGCGGCGUGCCUAACACAUGCAAGUCGAACGCGAAAGUCCCGCAAGGGAUUAGUAGAGUGGCAAACGGGUGAGUAACACGUGGGUGACCUGCCUUCGAGCGGGGGAUAACGUCCCGAAAGGGACGCUAAUACCGCAUAACAUCCUGCCUUUUAAGAGGUGGAGAUCAAAGCCGGGGAUCGCAAGACCUGGCACUUGAAGAGGGGCCCGCGCCUGAUUAGCUAGNGGUGGGGUAAUGGCCUACCAAGGCAACGAUCAGUAUCCGGCCUGAGAGGGCGGACGGACACACUGGGACUGAGACACGGCCCAGACUCCUACGGGAGGCAGCAGUGGGGAAUAUUGGACAAUGGGCGCAAGCCUGAUCCAGCAAUGCCGCGUGGGUGAAGAAGGUCUUCGGAUUGUAAAG